rnacentral:misc_RNA from 1 species
CAUUUGUGACUGGAGUUUAGUAACACCAGUUGAAAAAUGGCAGAAGAUUCGGAUGAAGAAGAAAAUCAUCAGGAUAUGGCAGAUCCUGCAGGACCUCGAAUAGUUACAAUUCGUAGAAGUGAUACUGGGUUUGGUUUUAACGUUCGAGGUCAAGUUAGUGAGGGAGGUCAAUUAAAGAGCAUAAAUGGAGAACUAUAUGCCCCUUUGCAGCAUGUUAGCGCUGUUAUGGAGGGCGGAGCUGCUGAUCGGGCUGGUAUCAUGAAAGGAGAUAGAAUAUUAGAAGUAUAUAAUACGGAAGGAUAUGUCUUUAGGCUGAAUAAAAAAAAUUAUUUUUAGAUAGUUUCAUCCACUAAUGAGCAACAUAUAGACUCUAAUAUAGAUUUAAGGUUAUACCAUACAAUUUAUUAUAGCCAAUACGAAAAUUGUUUACAUUUCAGCCUGGUUUUACAUUUGUUGCACUUGUCGAAGUAAUCCUUUGAAGAGAAAUAUUUAUGUUCAUUGAAAGGAUCCAGUAAUAACUUUAAGGAAAUCAAUAAUACAUCUCUUACGGUUUUUUUUUUCCACCUUAAAUAGUUAUUACUGGCAUAAAAUGUACUACAAAAAAGACCAUUGAUACAAAAUAACCCUAUUAUAGUAGUUAAUUACUUAAACAUUAUAACAACCGUAACUCAAUAAACAGUAACGAUUAAUAAUAUUUUUAAACAAUAUUGUAAUAUCACAUCGUAUCUUAUAAAUAUAUGCAAA